UUUAGUCUGAAAACGAAAACAUUUAAUACUUUUGACAUUGCAUUUGAAUGAGUGGACUUCAAAACAUUAUGUGUAUCUGAAAACUCUAGCCUAAUCUCCAAUAUUUAGGCAAAACACAAGUUCCAACAAGAUCCGUUAUCCCUUGAGAUCUGCAGUACUUUUGGACAAAUUCUUACUGCGACGGUAAUUGGCAAGUAAUGGAAUUUAUUAGGCUGGCCGGGUGGAAUUUUCAAAAAGUUGAACGACCAAGCUUCAAGACAGACUUCAUAGACAUCAAUAUGAAAUUCUGUAACUAGAGAAAUAUCUGAAUUUCAUCAAUACUGAUAUAAAAAUUCUCAAUCAUGAAUAACCAUUUAAAUAC